rnacentral:misc_RNA from 1 species
UACAGUAGUAACUGGCUGUACCUUGACGGUACCUUAUUAGAAAGCCACGGCUAACUACGUGCCAGCAGCCGCGGUAAUACGGGAGCCAGCAGCCGCGGUAAUACGGGAGCCAGCAGCCGCGGUAAUACGGGAGCCAGCAGCCGCGGUAAUACGGGAGCC